GAUGAACGCUGGCGGCGUGCCUAAUACAUGCAAGUCGAGCGAACGGACGAGAAGCUUGCUCUUCUGAUGUUAGCGGCGGACGGGUGAGUAACACGUGGAUAACCUACCUAUAAGACUGGGAUAACUUCGGGAAACCGGAGCUAAUACCGGAUAAUAUUUUGAACCGCAUGGUUCAAAAGUGAAAGACGGUCUUGCUGUCACUUAUAGAUGGAUCCGCGCUGCAUUAGCUAGUUGGUAAGGUAACGGCUUACCGAGGCAACGAUGCAUAGCCGACCUGAGAGGGUGAUCGGCCACACUGGAACUGAGACACGGUCCAGGCUCCUACGGGAGGCAGCAGUAGGGAAUCUUCCGCAAUGGGCGAAAGCCUGACGGAGCAACGCCGCGUGAGUGAUGAAGGUCUUCGGAUCGUAAAACUCUGUUAUUAGGGAAGAACAUAUGUGUAAGUAACUGUGCACAUCUUGACGGUACCUAAUCAGAAAGCCACGGCUAACUACGUG
rnacentral:rRNA from 1 species